rnacentral:rRNA from 1 species
AUGCACGCUGGCGGCGUGCCUAAUACCUGCAAGUCGCGCGAACAGACGAGGAGCUUGCUCCUCUGACGUUAGCGGCGGACGGGUGAGUAACACGUGGAUAACCUACCUAUAAGACUGGGAUAACUUCGGGAAACCGGAGCUAAUACCGGAUAAUAUAUUGAACCGCAUGGUUCAAUAGUGAAAGACGGUUUUGCUGUCACUUAUAGAUGGAUCCGCGCCGCAUUAGCUAGUUGGUAAGGUAACGGCUUACCAAGGCAACGAUGCGUAGCCGACCUGAGAGGGUGAUCGGCCACACUGGAACUGAGACACGGUCCAGACUCCUACGGGAGGCAGCAGUAGGGAAUCUUCCGCAAUGGGCGAAGGCCUGACGGAGCAACGCCGCGUGAGUGAUGAAGGUCUUCGGAUCGUAAAACUCUGUUAUUAGGGAAGAACAAAUGUGUAAGUAACUAUGCACGUCUUGACGGUACCUAAUCAGAAAGCCACGGCUAACUACGUG